CAGAGCUGAUGGCUGCAGGGGAAGGAGGUGGUGCAGGAACUCCAGGGGAGGAAGUGCAGCUGGACCAAACAGUGUGAGCCAGGCCAAGAGGGACUGUGGUGGAAGCCUCUGGCCCAGAGCAUGAAGAUGGAGAUGACUUCUUAUAAGAUACAGUCGCUCUACCAUGGAGCACCGAAAAGACCACAAGGAAUAUUUGAGGAUGAUGUACGAAGUGUGAUGAAGAAGCCUCUCUCUGUGACGCUGUGAUGUGACGAUUGAGCACAAUCCUGUUGUGACAAUUUCAUCCUUCCAACCCCCCAUGCUUUACGAAAUUGCCUUAUGGACACAAAUAUGCAUAACUCAGAGAUGCUGCAGACAAGAUACCUCAUGCAGCCUAUCAAUCUUACGUCACAAUCUGCUGGAUCUGUAGCUCUUAUUUUUGGUGUAGGAGUCACGCUUGUACGUAAAGUUAGAAAUGGGAAGCACAGACUGGUUUAUAGUUUUAAACGUGGGAAUGAAGCCAUCAAGGGUGUUUCCCUCCAUGUCUGGGUGAUGAUUUGUAAACAGCCCUUUUGUCCUUUAAGUCUCGGUAGUGGUUGGUCUUAGGAAGUCAUGUGACCUCCCUAACUUGGAGGAUCCGAGGAGAUAAUUUUCCAUGAAAGGGUGCAAGGCACAGACAAAGAAUUCCCACCUAAAAUGGGAGGCUAUUUAAAAUGCAACGUUUUUCAAUCCCUUUGUCUUGGUUGGCAUGUCACUCCCAAGAGACUGAACCAGAGACCCCAGGGAAAAAAGAUCUUCCCUGGUUUGAAGAUUUAGAUGAAAGAAGACCAGUUGUAGGGUAUUGUACUGAGCUUUUGGUGUUCAGACUAGUUCUGUGUGUUCUGUUGUUUUAAACUUGUAAUCUACUUUGCUCUGCCUGUUCGCACUUGCAACCACUUAAAUCCA